rnacentral:rRNA from 1 species
UACAGAGGGGGCAAGCGUUGUUCGGAAUUACUGGGCGUAAAGGGCGCGUAGGCGGCCUGUUAAGUCGAACGUGAAAUCCCUCGGCUUAACCGGGGAACUGCGUCUGAUACUGGAUGGCUUGAGUUUGGGAGAGGGAUGCGGAAUUCCAGGUGUAGCGGUGAAAUGCGUAGAUAUCUGGAGGAACACCGGUGGCGAAGGCGGCAUCCUGGACCAACACUGACGCUGAGGAGCGAAAGCCAGGGGAGCAAACGGG